rnacentral:rRNA from 1 species
UGAACGCUGGCGGUAUGCUUAACACAUGCAAGUCGAACGGAAACGAUACUAGCUUGCUAGUAGGCGUCGAGUGGCGGACGGGUGAGUAACGCGUAGGAAUCUGCCUGAUAGUGGGGGAUAGCCCGAAGAAAUUCGGAUUAAUACCGCAUAAUCUAUUCGUAGUAAAGUGGGGGACUUUCGAGCCUCACGCUAUCAGAUGAGCCUGCGUAAGAUUAGCUUGUUGGUAGGGUAAAAGCCUACCAAGGCGACGAUCUUUAGCUGGUCUGAGAGGAUGAUCAGCCACAUCGGGACUGAGACACGGCCCGAACUCCUACGGGAGGCAGCAGUGGGGAAUAUUGGACAAUGGGGGCAACCCUGAUCCAGCAAUACCGCGUGUGUGAAGAAGGCCUGAGGGUUGUAAAGCACUUUCAAUUGUGAAGAAAAGUUAGCGGUUAAUAACCGUUAGCCUUGACGUUAACUUUAGAAGAAGCACCGGCUAACUCCGUGCCAGCAGCCGCGGUAAUACGGAGGGUGCAAGCGUUAAUCGGAAUUACUGGGCGUAAAGCGUGCGUAGGUGGUUUAUUAAGUUAGAUGUGAAAGCCCCGGGCUUAACCUGGGAACUGCAUUUGAAACUGGUCAACUAGAGUAUGGUAGAGGAAAGUGGAAUUUCUGGUGUAGCGGUGAAAUGCGUAGAUAUCAGAAGGAACAUCAAUGGCGAAGGCAGCUUUCUGGACCAAUACUGACACUGAGGUACGAAAGCGUGGGUAGCAAACAGGAUUAGAUACCCUGGUAGUCCACGCCGUAAACGAUGAUAACUAGCCGUUGGGGGGAUUUACCCUUUAGUGGCGAAGCUAACGCGUUAAGUUAUCCGCCUGGGGAGUACGGCCGCAAGGUUAAAACUCAAAGGAAUUGACGGGGACCCGCACAAGCGGUGGAGCAUGUGGUUUAAUUCGAUGCAACGCGAAGAACCUUACCUGGUCUUGACAUCCUGCGAACUUUCUAGAAAUAGAUUGGUGCCUUCGGGAACGCAGUGACAGGUGCUGCAUGGCUGUCGUCAGCUCGUGUCGUGAGAUGUUGGGUUAAGUCCCGUAACGAGCGCAACCCCUAUCCUUAUUUGCCAGCACAUCAUGGUGGGAACUAUAAGGAGACUGCCGGUGAUAAACCGGAGGAAGGCGGGGACGACGUCAAGUCAUCAUGGCCCUUACGACCAGGGCUACACACGUGCUACAAUGGGAAGGACAAAGAGCCGCGAAGCCGCGAGGUGUAGCUAAUCUCAUAAACCUUUUCGUAGUCCGGAUUGGAGUCUGCAACUCGACUCCAUGAAGUCGGAAUCGCUAGUAAUCGUAGAUCAGAAUGCUACGGUGAAUACGUUCCCGGGUCUUGUACACACCGCCCGUCA